CCCUUAGAUGUUCUGGGCUGCACGCGUGCUACACUGAUAUUGCCAAUAUGUCAUUCUUAUCCGAAAUGGAUUGGGUAAUCACGUAAUGAAAUUUCAUGCUUGGAAUCGGUAAUUGCAAUUUUAUCGUGAACGAGGAAUUCCUAGUAAGCACUAGUCAUCAGCUAAUGUUGAUUAUGUCCCUGCCCUUUGUACACACCGCCCGUCGCUACUACUGAUUGGGUGUUCAAGUGAGAUGCUUAGACCCUUGUUGCAUGGUUCAUUAUUGUGCUCCGAAAGGAAAAAGUUUCAAGCUUGAGUGUCUAGAGGAAGUAAAAGUCGUAACA
rnacentral:rRNA from 1 species